GGACUACCCGGGUAUCUAAUCCUGUUUGCUCCCCACGCUUUCGCGCCUCAGCGUCAGUCAAGGACCAGGUCGCCGCCUUCGCCACCGGUGUUCUUCCCAAUAUCUACGAAUUUCACCUCUACACUGGGAAUUCCACGACCCUCUUCCCCACUCCAGCCCACACGUCUCGGAUGCAGCCCCCAGGUUGAGCCCAGGAAUUUCACAUCCGACUGUGCAGGCCGCCUACGCGCCCUUUACGCCCAGUCAUUCCGAGCAACGCUAGCCCCCUUCGUAUUACCGCGGCGGCUGGCAC
rnacentral:rRNA from 1 species